rnacentral:rRNA from 1 species
GAUCCGAUUCCUACGGGAGGCAGCAGUGAGGAAUAUUGGACAAUGGAUGGAAAUCUGAUCCAGCCAUGCCGCGUGCAGGAAGACGGCCCUAUGGGUUGUAAACUGCUUUUGUAUGGGAGCAAUAAGGUCUAUGCGUAGACUGAUGAGAGUACCAUACGAAUAAGCAUCGGCUAACUCCGUGCCAGCAGCCGCGGUAAUACGGGGGAUGCAAGCGUUAUCCGGAUUUAUUGGGUUUAAAGGGUGCGUAGGCGGUUUGAUAAGUCAGCGGUGAAAUAUUUCAGCUUAACUGAAAGGGUGCCGUUGAUACUGUCAGGCUUGAAUAUGGUUGCUGUGGGUGGAAUGUGUGGUGUAGCGGUGAAAUGCUUAGAUAUCACACAGAAUAUCGAUUGCGAAGGCAGCUCACAAAGCCAUUAUUGACGCUGAUGCACGAAAGUGUGGGGAUCAAACAGGAUUAGAUACCCUGGUAGUCCACACUGUAAACGAUGAUAACUCGCUGUCGGCGAUACACAGUCGGUAGCCAAGCGAAAGCGAUAAGUUAUCCACCUGGGGAGUACGACCGCAAGGUUGAAACUCAAAGGAAUUGACGGGGGCCCGCACAAGCGGAGGAACAUGUGGUUUAAUUCGAUGAUACGCGAGGAACCUUACCCGGGCUCGAACGGUGCAGGAAUACGUCAGAGAUGAUGUAGCUGGCAAUAGUCUGUAUCGUGGUGCGGCAUGGUUGUCGUCAGCUCGUGCCGUGAGGUGUCGGCUUAAGUGCCAUAACGAGCGCAACCCUUGUCGUUAGUUGCCAUCAGGUAAUGCUGGGAACUCUAGCGAGACUGCCACCGUAAGGUGUGAGGAAGGGGGGGAUGACGUCAAAUCAGCACGGCCCUUACGUCCGGGGCGACACACGUGUUACAAUGGUAGGUACAGAGGGCAGCUACCCAGCAAUGGGGUGCGUAUCUCAAAAGCCUAUCUCAGUUCGGAUCGGAGUCUGCAACUCGACUCCGUGAAGUUGGAUUCGCUAGUAAUCGCGCAUCAGCCAUGGCGCGGUGAAUACGUUCCCGGGCCUUGUACACACCGCC